UUUUUGCAUAUCCCAAAAGCGGAGGAAAAGAAACCAACAGGGAUUGCCUCAGUAACGGCGAGUGAAGCGGCAACAGCUCAAAUUUGAAAUCUGGCCUCUCGGGGUCCGAGUUGUAAUUUGUAGAGGAUGUUUUGGGUACCGCCCCGGUUUAAAUUUCUUGGAACAGAAUGUCAGAGAGGGUGAGAAUCCCGUCUUGGACCGGCGGUAGGGCCUGUGUAAAACUCCUUCGACGAGUCGAGUUGUUUGGGAAUGCAGCUCAAAAUGGGUGGUAAAUUUCAUCUAAAGCUAAAUAUUGGCCAGAGACCGAUAGCGCACAAGUAGAGUGAUCGAAAGAUGAAAAGAACUUUGAAAAGAGAGUUAAACAGUAUGUGAAAUUGUUGAAAGGGAAGCGCUUGCAACCAGACUUGAGCGCGACGGUUCCCCUAGCCUUUUGGCUAGGUUACUCUGUCGUGUCCAGGCCAACAUCGGUUCUGAGGGUCGGUCAAAGGCCCCGGGAAUGUACCUACCCACGGGUAGACUUAUAGACCGGGGUGUCAUGCGGCCUCUCGGGACCGAGGAACGCGCUUCGGCUCGGAUGUUGGCGUAAUGGUUGUCAGCGACCCGUCUUGACCAACGGGACCA
rnacentral:rRNA from 1 species